rnacentral:SRP_RNA from 2 species
CUUUGGUCCCCUCGCGGCGAUAAAUUGUGAACUCCGCCAGGCCCGGAAGGGAGCAACGGUAACAGUGGAUUCGGGCGCCGAGGUGUGGCUGGGUGGG